rnacentral:tRNA from 1 species
GAGGGUAUAGCUCAGUGGUAGAGUGCAUGCUUAGCAUGCACGAGAUCCUGGGUUCAAUCCCCAGUACUGCCA